rnacentral:misc_RNA from 1 species
GUGAAUCAUCAAAUUUUUGAACGCAAAUUGCGCCUUUUUCGGAAGGCAUGUCUGUUUGAGGGCACCAUUUAACAAAUAAUGUGCAGCGGUUGUUGCUGCGCACGUUGAUGAGCUUUCCAAGAAUUUUAAAUUUUUGUGGUCGCAUAAGAAACAGCGUGAAAGUUUUGUUCAGUUCAAGUUUAGUAAAAUCUUUGCUUGGAUUUGGAAAAGCGUAAUCGCGCAAUGGGUGGGGCAAUUUUUUAUUAUCCGUGCCCAAUGCCACUCUUUCUCACGAAAGAAUGUCGAAUCUUCAGGGCCUCAA